CAGAGGGGGCAAGCGUUGUUCGGAAUUACUGGGCGUAAAGGGCGCGUAGGCGGCCUGCUAAGUCGAACGUGAAGUCCCUGGGCUCAACCCAGGAACUGCGUCCGAUACUGGUUGGCUUGAAUCCGGGAGAGGGAUGUGGAAUUCCAGGUGUAGCGGUGAAAUGCGUAGAUAUCUGGAGGAACACCGGUGGCGAAGGCGACAUCCUGGACCGGCAUUGACGCUGAGGCGCGAAAGCCAGGGGAGCAAACGGGAUUAGAUACCCCGGUAGUCCUGGCCCUAAACGAUGAAUGCUUGGUGUGGUGGGUAUCGAUCCCUACCGUGCCGAAGCUAACGCAUUAAGCAUUCCGCCUGGGGAGUACGGUCGCAAGGCUG
rnacentral:rRNA from 1 species